rnacentral:lncRNA from 1 species
UACAUGUUUCAAUAACUACUAUUCACAGCGACUAGAGCUAGUUUUUACGAUAAUGUGAUUUGCUAUGGCGUAAACGGGAGUCUGGACAUUCUAACUGCAGUUUUUAUGGUGUGAAAACGGAAUCAUUAAAACCCAAAGCGCUUUAUUUGGUGCGUGUGACAGAGUGUAUUACCGAAGUCGAAGAUAACACGGAAUAUAAUUUAGCAAUGGUGUCAAGAAGGAGUUCUGUUGUGUUAUUCUAUGCAGUGCCUCUUCACAGAAGUGCAAGGGUCUUUCUUUCCACAGCUUGCCUAAGGAGUGUCUGAGGUUUCAGACAAAUGGAGAAGUCAGCUGAUCCAUUGCAUCAACAGAUGUGACAACAUCUUCAAUCCAGAGAAAGUCAAGGUCUGUUCCAGGUGUUUUGAAGCACUGUUUCAUUAAAUGUACAUUCAGGCUGUAUAAUUGAGGGAUGAAUAAUAUCUCAUCAAAGUUUAUUGAAGCUGUUUGAAUUGAAUUAACAUCCCUUUCACCUCCUUAUUACAACUUAAAUUCAACAUUGCUGUUUGCUGAACAAAUUUGGGCUUAUGUCUUAGUUUCAUAGCUUAAUUUUUUUUUUUUACAUCAGACAUUUAGCAGUGCACGCAUGUAUGGUGAAACUGAUUGCAGUUACAUAUUUACUAUUUAAAAUAGAAGUUUAUGAAUAAAGAAAUGUGUAUAAUAAGGGCAGAACUUGUACAUUUAGCAUGUUAUGUAGAACUAAAAUGGCACUCUGAAAUAACAGAAUUACAGCAUUGUAAAAAUGCAUCUGUAUAGGAAAGGUUUUCCUAAAAUUGUUUCCUUUUCAUCAAUAUAGACUUUGCAUUUGUAGUGAUAGAUUCAAGUCUGCCUUGUGACUUGGCAGUCUGCAGUGACUGCUUCUGGCUGUGUACUGUUAUCUCUGGGUUGACUCAGUUCUUCAUGCUUAUCACUUCCUCUACAUAUG